rnacentral:ncRNA from 1 species
GGUCCCCACCAAGGCAGUGUUACUUAACUACGCCGAUGGUGGGGCGGUUACACCUCGCGGUGUUUCCGGGCCUUCCACUUCCGUUGCCGGGCGUCGGUCUGACAGAGUGCGUCACAUUGCGGUGCCACUCGGGGCCGAAGGUCUGGGGGCGA